rnacentral:lncRNA from 1 species
GACGAUCGAUAAUUCCACAAUUAUUUAUUAUUCUUUUCCAAGAUAUAAUAAACCUAUGUUUACCACGAGACGAUCAUAUUCCUAGUUCGAAUUCAUAUGGCGAACAUGCAUUGACAAUUAGGAUUAUCACUUAUGAUCGCACACGCCACAAAUAUUAUUUUUAAUAUUUAUUGCCCGUGUGUCCCAAUAAUAGUGUUCUACCUAUCGUGAGUUUUCCAACAUUACGAAA